UACUGGACCAAUGAGGCCGAAGAGCUGCUCAAAGGGGCACUGGAGCCAGUGUACAGGGUCUCAAAGAAGCAAAAGACAGAACAUGAGGUCAAUAGGCACACUCCUGUUUGUGAUAAAGAAAUGUCCAGUUUCAAAAGUCCGACAUGUGCUUCAUAUUGGAGCUGCCAAACUGUCUUCUCUCGGA